GCUGUUUCCUUCCAGAGGAGUGCUGAAAAGACUAAUCCAAUUCCAGAGGAGAUUCUCAAGGAUUUCCUCUCUUCCCAUCCCAGUAAUGCCUUUUCCAUGGUGUUCAACAGUGCGCUCGCUAAUGUUUGUCCUGACCAAAUCUACUCCCUCCACAACCAAAGGUACCCAUAUUGUGCGAUUUUAUUUGUU